UGGGGAGUACGGUCGCAAGACUGAAACUUAAAGGAAUGGGCGGGGGAGCACCGAAACGGGAGGAGCGUGCGGUUCAAUUGGAUUCAACGCCGGAAAACUCACCGGGGGCGACCCUUGCAUGAAGGCCAGGCUGAUGACCUUGCUUGAUUUUGGGAGAGGUGGUGCAUGGCCGUCGUCAGUUCGUACCGUAAGGCGUUCUGUCAAGUCAGAUAACGAACGAGACCCUCGCCUUUAGUUGCUAGUUCGUCCUCCGGGACGGGCGCACACUAAGGGGACCGCUGGCGCUAAGUCAGAGGAAGGAGAGGUCAACGGUAGGUCCGUAUGCCCCGAAUCCCCCGGGCAACACGCGCGCUACAAAGGACGGGACAAUGGGCUCCCACCUCGAAAGAGGGAGGCAAUCCCGAAACCCGUUCGUAGUUCGGACUGAGGGCUGUAACCCGCCCUCACGAAGAUGGAUUCCGUAGUAAUCGCGUGUCAACAUCACGCGGUGAAUAUGCCCCUGCUCCUUGCACACACCGCCCGUCAAGCCACCCGAGUUGAGCCUGAGUGAUGGUGUCGUUCUUGCGGCGCUAGAACUUAGGUUCAGCAAGGAGGGCUAAGUCGUAAAA
rnacentral:rRNA from 1 species